rnacentral:rRNA from 1 species
UACGUAGGGCGCAAGCGUUGUCCGGAAUUAUUGGGCGUAAAGAGCUCGUAGGCGGCUUGUCACGUCGGUUGUGAAAGCCCGGGGCUUAACCCCGGGUCUGCAGUCGAUACGGGCUAGCUAGAGUGUGGUAGGGGAGAUCGGAAUUCCUGGUGUAGCGGUGAAAUGCGCAGAUAUCAGGAGGAACACCGGUGGUGAAGGCAGAUCUCUGGGCCAUUACUGACGCUGAGGAGCGAAAGCGUGGGGAGCGAACAGG